UACGUAGGGGGCAAGCGUUGUCCGGAAUUAUUGGGCGUAAAGAGCGUGUAGGCGGUCCGGUAAGUCAGCUGUGAAAGUCAAGGGCUCAACCCUUGAAUGCCGGUUGAUACUGUCGGGCUAGAGUCCGGAAGAGGCGAGUGGAAUUCCCGGUGUAGCGGUGAAAUGCGUAGAUAUCGGAAGGAACACCAGUGGCGAAAGCGGCUUCCUGGUCCAGCACCGACGUUCAGGCACGAAAGCGUGGGGAGCAAACAGG
rnacentral:rRNA from 1 species